rnacentral:rRNA from 1 species
AGUGAACGCUGGCGGUAGGCCUAACACAUGCCAGUCGAACGGCAGCACAGUAAGAGCUUGCUCUUACGGGUGGCGAGUGGCGGACGGGUGAGGAAUACAUCGGAAUCUACUUUUUCGCGGGGGAUAACGUAGGGAAACUUACGCUAAUACCGCAUACGACCUACGGGUGAAAGCAGGGGAUCUUCGGACCUUGCGCGAUUGAAUGAGCCGAUGUCGGAUUAGCUAGUUGGCGGGGUAAAGGCCCACCAAGGCGACGAUCCGUAGCUGGUCUGAGAGGAUGAUCAGCCACACUGGAACUGAGACACGGUCCAGACUCCUACGGGAGGCAGCAGUGGGGAAUAUUGGACAAUGGGCGCAAGCCUGAUCCAGCCAUACCGCGUGGGUGAAGAAGGCCUUCGGGUUGUAAAGCCCUUUUGUUGGGAAAGAAAAGCAGCAGGUUAAUACCCCGCUGUUCUGACGGUACCCAAAGAAUAAGCACCGGCUAACUUCGUG